rnacentral:rRNA from 1 species
AGAGUUUGAUCAUGGCUCAGGAUGAACGCUAGCUACAGGCUUAACACAUGCAAGUCGAGGGGCAGCAUGUUGGUUGCUUGCAACCAACGAUGGCGACCGGCGCACGGGUGAGUAACGCGUAUCCAACCUACCCUUGUCCAUCGGAUAACCCGUCGAAAGGCGGCCUAACACGAUAUGCGGUUCACAGCAGGCAUCUAACGUGAACGAAAUGUAAAGGAGAAGGAUGGGGAUGCGUCUGAUUAGCUUGUUGGCGGGUAACGCCACAAGGCUACGAUCAGUAGGGGUUCUGAGAGGAAGGUCCCCCANAUUGGAACUGAGACACGGUCAAACUCUACGGGAGCA